UGAAGUUCUAUUUAAACUAUUCCCUG
rnacentral:ncRNA from 3 species